GACGAACGCUGGCGGCGUGCUUAACACAUGCAAGUCGAACGAUGAAGCCAGCUUGCUGGUGGAUUAGUGGCGAACAGGUGAGUAACACGUGGGUGAUCUGCCCCAAACUUUGGGAUAAGCCUGGGAAACUGGGUCUAAUACCGAAUAUGACCGAUACUCGCAUGGGUGUUGGUGGAAAGCUCCGGCGGUUUGGGAUGGGCCCGCGGCCUAUCAGCUUGUUGGUGGGGUAAUGGCCUACCAAGGCGACGACGGGUAGCCGGCCUGAGAGGGCGACCGGCCACACUGGGACUGAGACACGGCCCAGACUCCUACGGGAGGCAGCAGUGGGGAAUAUUGCACAAUGGGCGCAAGCCUGAUGCAGCGACGCCGCGUGAGGGAUGACGGCCUUCGGGUUGUAAACCUCUUUCACCAGGGACGAAGCGAAAGUGACGGUACCUGGAGAAGAAGCACCGGCCAACUACGUG
rnacentral:rRNA from 1 species